UUUAAAUAGCUGCAGUAUUUUAACUGUACAAAGGUAGCAUAGUAAUUAGUCUUUUAAUUGAGGUCUUGAAUGAAUGGUUUAACAAGAAAAUUACUUUAUUACAUUAAUUUAAUUAAUUUUAUUUUUUAGUUAAAAAGCUAAAAUUAUUAAAUGGGACGAUAAGACCCUAUAGAUCUUUAAAUUUUUAUAAAUUAAUAUAUUUUAGUUAAAUUAAUUUCAGUUUACUUAAAAUUUUUUAUUGGGGUGAUAUACAAAAUUUUUUAGCUUUGUAAUAUAUCUACAUGAAUCAAUGAUUUUAUUGAACCUAAAUUUUAGGUUACUAAAAUAAGAUACCUUAGGGAUAACAGCGUAAUAAGUUUGUAUAGUUCAUAUAGAUAAACUUUUUUACGACCUCGAUGUUGAAUUAAUUUAAAAUUUUGGAGCAGAAGAUGAAUAUUUUGGGUCUGUUCGACCUUUAAAAAAUUACA
rnacentral:rRNA from 2 species